rnacentral:lncRNA from 1 species
AUUAAAACUUACGCUUGCCUGAUUGCAAUUAAGAGAUAAUGAUAUAAAUAAGACUCGCUAAUUAUGCGUUCGCAUUUGAGCGUAGCUUCAAGCCAACUCUCGAUUCCAAUAAUCUCGACUGAUUCAAAUCUGUAAAUGAGCCGCUCGCUUAGACGCAAUCGCCGAGGGGGAAGAAAGCCGAAAUUAAAAAUUCCCAAGUCACGAGGACCCUCGUUCAUGCUCGUUAUUUGUAAUUUUUUAUAGCCUAUAUAAUACUUCUUCGAGCCGAGUAUAAAAGAGAGAACCGAGAUUAAUUCCACCUUAUAAUACCUAGAGAGGAAAGUAGGCGAUAAAUCACGAACGAUAAUAACAACGGUUAAUUUUCAGACAAAAAGAGCAGAAAUCCGCGGGCCUGGAGUACGAUUUAAAAAUAUAUAGAUAUUGGUAUAGCUCGCGUUCCACGAGAGAAAGAGAGAGAAAAACGAGAUAAUGAAAAAAAAAACAACAAGGGUGGAAAUGAAUGAGAAGAUUAAAAAGAAUAAGAGCGCGCUCGCCAGGGACAGAGAAAAAAGGAGCACACACAGAGCGCCGGCAUUUACUCUUAAAAAAUGUACGUACAAGUGUACCUUGUACAGCACGCGCAUUACGCGGCAUCAGAGCAGUCGAGGCAUAACGCGAGAGUAUAUUCUAUAGUAGACAUCGUAGAAGAGAAGAAAACGCUUACAGGUGUACGUACGUGCGAUUAUACCUAUAUAGCACACACACGCACACACGCGUAGAGACGCGCGCAAGCGAGAGAGAGAGAGAGAGAGAGAGAGAGAGAGAGAGAGAGAGAGAGAGAGAGAGAGAGAGAGAGAGAGAGAGAGAUUCAUCGUAUGUGAGCAGCGCAGCAGGUCGACUUGCGUACGUCGCUCCGGAUUGAUUUUAUACGCUAUACUAUAUAGCUGCUACAGUAGCGCGCGCCGUUCGAAAACACACUUGGCAAGCCUAAGAAAAUAUAAUGAGUUCGCGAAGGUGCUAACCCGCCUUGGACCUAUAUACCCGCGCGUUUAUUUAUAUAUACAGGCCGACGGAGCGUCAAGAGGACUUUUCGCGCGCGCUUAUUUAAAUUUUUUAUUUCCAGUACAGCCCCCCCCCCUCUCCGGUCUAAGUAAUUAUAUUCCGAUUCGGUUAGGCGGCAAUCGCGCGCGCGCGAGAGGGUUUACGCUUUAAUCGAGUGCGCGCUUUCACGAGUCGUUCUCUUAUCGAUCUCCACGGCUUCGCCUUGGAAUGCUAUUUUUUGAGGCGAGACGAGCUGCGAGUGCGAGAAAAUUGGGCUUUAAUGCGCGCUUUUGGACGUUACGCUCAUUCUUCGCGUUGCGUUAUACUAUAGGUUUACAGUUGGUCGACACGGAACUCGAGUAUUUGGAAUUUUCGAAGAAAUUUAAUCACGCGCUGUGGCUUGAGUUAUUUAAUUAAAAUGUGUUGCCGUGCGUACACGCCGAGAUUUCUCCGCUCACUAAAACCGAAUUAACGCGCAAGAUGUAUAUAGGUAAAGUAAUUACAUAAAUUAGCGAAAAAUGCGUGCGGUAAACUUCAAUUAACGCUGCUUGCGUAAAGUUAAAACAUUAAAAAUUAAUUUGUUCAUAACAUUCAAACGUACGCAGCGUUAAAUUUACGAGAGAUAUAAACCUCUUUCUGUGUAUUACUACGAUGUUUGAUGUUCAACGUUUACACGUUCUGUAAAGUGCCGAAAUUCAUAUAUCGGUUGAAAGCAGGCCAAUUUCGCCCCUCCUUUGCUCUCCGCCCGGUGUCUCGAUUCCUAUCUACCCCCUCUUAUAUAUUAAGUUUUUAUCAAAUCACCCGCAUCAUUUCUUAGCCAAAAUUUGUUCCCUCUUCGAUCAGAUUUAUGGAAGAACAAGAUUUCCGAUAACGAAAAGUAAUUAUUGAAAUAGUCUAGAGAUCCGCACUUAGUAUCCACGUAGUUGGAUUCCUCAUAUCAAGAUAAACCACGGCUCGCGUGUAACGAAAUUUGUCGUAAAAAAUGUCAUCCCCGAGGAGAAGUUGAGCAAAAUGCGGUCAAAGUCGACGAAAUAAUAAUAUGAGACAUGAAAGACGCACAUGCACGUCGCGCUCGAGCAUUGUACGAGUAGUAACGGAUGGAACUAUUCAGACAUUCACAUUAAAUUCUCAUCUUGCUGUGAACGGGUGAAUUUUUAUUUUUAAAUUAAACUUUUUUCUACGCUCUCGCAAUACAUGUAGCCAUAGCCCGUUCGUCGCGCACACACAUAUAUAUAGAUACAAGGUUUACUUUGAAAGUCAGAAACGUCCUGCUUCGUCAUCGUUGUAUUAUACCUACACGUCUAUGCGGUCUGAUGGAAGAGCAAUACUUAUUAAUAUUUUAUGUAUCGGUUUUUCGAUUGAAAAUUUAUUUUUCCUUUGUGAAAAACUUAUUUAAAUAAAUCGAUCAUCGUAGACGGCCGAUAGCGAAAGGAAACAAAUAAAUCAUUUUCUAAUAUGUACAAAAAACUUUUUUGAUUUAGAGAUAUCUAUCUCUAAAUUGAGUGAUCCAUUUUUAAACUAAAAAUAAAUGCCGUAUGAGAGUAUAUUUUAAGAACUCGGAUUAUUGUAGAUUUCUUCGAGUUAAUCCGUAAUCCUUUGAACUAUCAAACUGAAUAUAAAAGUAAAACUAAAAAUCUUUUAAAAAUCGGGAAAUACAUUUCAAGUAUUAUAUGUAGGAAUUAAAGUGUUUGAAACGUCGGCAUAUUUUAUAAUAAAAUAGUUUUAUUAUAAUUUUUUGUGUAUUCACAUAUUACAUUACAUUCGCAUUACCAAUGCCCGAAGUAAGCAUGUAACUUGAGCUCAUCUUAGAAUUCUUAAAUAGUCGAACAAUAAUUUUUGGCAGUUUAAUUUUACUCUUAUAAUAAUUCGUUCGCAGAGCUCAUUAUCGUUAUUUACACGGUAUUAUGCUUGCUCGUUUGUUUAACGAAAGUAAGUUGCAAUAUUGAUGUCCGAAUGCACUGCCGUACAUUAUCAGAUAGAAAAAAAAAGUUUUCGUGAGAGUAGGAGCAUACGUGUUGCUGAAAGAAAAACGUAUCUAGCAAGUAUCUCUCCUGCUUUGAUGCCCGU